rnacentral:rRNA from 1 species
UACGUAGGGUGCAAGCGUUGUCCGGAUUUAUUGGGCGUAAAGAGCUCGUAGGCGGCUCGGUAAGUCGGAUGUGAAACCUCCAGGCUCAACCUGGAGACGCCAUCUGAUACUGCCGUGGCUUGAGUCCGGUAGAGGAGCAGGGAAUUCCUGGUGUAGCGGUGAAAUGCGCAGAUAUCAGGAGGAACACCAGCGGCGAAGGCGCUGCUCUGGGCCGGUACUGACGCUGAGGAGCGAAAGCGUGGGGAGCAAACAGG